CCGUGGACGACAGGUGCUGCAUGGCUGUCGUCAGCUCGUGUCGUGAGAGUGUUGGGUUAAGUCCCGCAACGAGCGCAACCCUUGCCUUUAGUUGCCAGCAGUUCGGCUGGGCACUCUAAAGGGACUGCCGGUGUUAAACCGGAGGAAGGUGGGGAUGACGUCAAGUCCUCAUGGCCUUUAUGACCAGGGCUACACACGUACUACAAUGGCCGAUACAAAGGGCAGCGACACUGCGAGGUGAAGCCAAUCCCGUAAAAUCGGUCUCAGUCCGGAUUGGAGUCUGCAACUCGACUCCAUGAAGUUGGAAUCGCUAGUAAUCGUGGAUCAGCAUGCCACGGUGAAUACGUUCCCGGGCCUU
rnacentral:rRNA from 1 species